rnacentral:rRNA from 1 species
AUUGAACGCUGGCGGCAGGCCUAACACAUGCAAGUCGAACGGUAACAGGAAGCAGCUUGUUGCUUCGCUGACGAGUGGCGGACGGGUGAGUAAUGUCUGGGAAACUGCCUGAUGGAGGGGGAUAACUACUGGAAACGGUAGCUAAUACCGCAUAACGUCGCAAGACCAAAGAGGGGGACCUUAGGGCCUCUUGCCAUCGGAUGUGCCCAGAUGGGAUUAGCUAGUAGGUGGGGUAACGGCUCACCUAGGCGACGAUCCCUAGCUGGUCUGAGAGGAUGACCAGCCACACUGGAACUGAGACACGGUCCAGACUCCUACGGGAGGCAGCAGUGGGGAAUAUUGCACAAUGGGCGCAAGCCUGAUGCAGCCAUGCCGCGUGUAUGAAGAAGGCCUUCGGGUUGUAAAGUACUUUCAGCGGGGAGGAAGGGAGUAAAGUUAAUACCUUUGCUCAUUGACGUUACCCGCAGAAGAAGCACCGGCUAACUCCGUG